rnacentral:rRNA from 1 species
CAUGCAAGUCGAACGGCAGCACGGGCUUCGGCCUGGUGGCGAGUGGCGAACGGGUGAGUAAUACAUCGGAACGUACCCAGAAGUGGGGGAUAACGCAGCGAAAGUUGCGCUAAUACCGCAUACGUUCUACGGAAGAAAGUGGGGGAUCUUCGGACCUCAUGCUUUUGGAGCGGCCGAUGUCUGAUUAGCUAGUUGGUGGGGUAAAGGCUCACCAAGGCGACGAUCAGUAGCUGGUCUGAGAGGACGACCAGCCACACUGGAACUGAGACACGGUCCAGACUCCUACGGGAGGCAGCAGUGGGGAAUUUUGGACAAUGGGCGCAAGCCUGAUCCAGCAAUGCCGCGUGAGUGAAGAAGGCCUUCGGGUUGUAAAGCUCUUUUGUCAGGGAAGAAACGGUUCCGGCUAAUAUCCGGGGCUAAUGACGGUACCUGAAGAAUAAGCACCGGCUAACUACGUGCCAGCAGCCGCGGUAAUACGUAGGGUGCAAGCGUUAAUCGGAAUUACUGGGCGUAAAGCGUGCGCAGGCGGUUUUGUAAGUCUGUCGUGAAAGCCCCGGGCUCAACCUGGGAAUUGCGAUGGAGACUGCAAGGCUUGAAUCUGGCAGAGGGGGGUAGAAUUCCACGUGUAGCAGUGAAAUGCGUAGAGAUGUGGAGGAACACCGAUGGCGAAGGCAGCCCCCUGGGUCAAGAUUGACGCUCAUGCACGAAAGCGUGGGGAGCAAACAGGAUUAGAUACCCUGGUAGUCCACGCCCUAAACGAUGUCUACUAGUUGUCGGGUUUUAAUUAACUUGGUAACGCAGCUAACGCGUGAAGUAGACCGCCUGGGGAGUACGGUCGCAAGAUUAAAACUCAAAG